rnacentral:lncRNA from 1 species
AUGAUCGUUUUAUAUUUGUUUGUUCAAAUGUCAUCCGUGUACUGUUCGUUCAAUCAAUUUCUCGAAUUUAUACAACCAAAACGGAUAAUCAUUUCGACUGCAGUAAUUAAUUCGUUCACAAGAUUGAACAGAGAUGGUGUGGGCAUAGAGAGGAGGGGCUGCAACAUGAUUACGUCGCUAGUUGUUUUCAAAGUAAAGGCUGUGUUACUGAUAUUACCUGAACAUAUCCAGCUAGCUAUCUUUCGCAGGUUACAAAGAUCGUUCAAGACUAUCCAGCCCCAACUAACACGGCUUGACAUGCCGAGUUUUUACCAUGACCCUUUCUCUGCCAUCAGGUGAGUAUGAAUUAAUGAUCAACAAUUGUCUACUCUGUAUGGUAUAUGUAGGUGGUAAUUCCCUCCACCUAAUAAUGGCAGAGAUUUAAGGAAGUAAAAUGGAUUGUUCAAUCAUUCUCAAUGGUAGUUCGUGAGUAUAUCUGUAGAGCAGUAGGUGGGCAUACUGCAUAUGGCCACUACUACACCUGCACCAAUGCAUGAGAUUGAAGCUGGUUUGGUUGACGGUGACACUACACAUGUACAGGCAGGCACUGCCAUUCCUUGUCUUGCAUGGUAUGGCUUCGUAUAUACUAGAGCAGGUAUUCCCAAACAGGGGUACCCAAAUAAAAAAUUAACUUUUUAAUGAUUAUUAUUUUAUUUUUAAAAAACUUUUUUGCUUCACAUUUUCAAACAGUCAAUUUAUAUUUUCCAACAGGGCUAUACAUUUGGGUGAGGUUUUUUUCUCGCCUGAGUAGCUUUAGUUUCACUGCCCAUAAUAAAAUUAAACCAUCUUUUUUAAAUGUAUUUUUUAAUUUCACCUUUAUUUAACCAGAUAGACUAGUUGAGAACAAGUUCUCAUUUACAACUGGAACCUGGCCAAGAUAAAGCAAAGCAGUGCGACACAAACAACACAGAGUUACACAUGGAAUAAACAAGCGUACAGUCAAUAACACAAUAGAAAAAGUAUAUACAGUGUGUGCAAAUGGCGUGAGGAGGUAAGGCAAUAAAUAGGCCAUAGUAGUGAAGUAAUUACAAUUUAGCAAAUUAACACUGGAGUGAUAGAUGUGCAGAUGAUGUGCAAGUAGAAAUACUGGUGUGCAAAAGAGCAGAAAAGUAAAUAAAAACAGUAUGGGGACGAGGUAGGUAGAUUACUAUUUACAGAUGGCCUAUGUACAGCUGCAGCGAUCGGUUAGCUGCUCAGAUAGCUGAUGUUUAAAGUUAGUGAGGGAAAUAUAAGUCUCCAGCUUCAGCGAUUUUUGAAAUUCGUUCCAGUCAUUGGCAGCAGAGAACUGAAAGGAAAGGCAGCCAAAGGAGGUUUUGGCUUUGGGGAUGACCAGUGAGAUAUACCUGCUGGUGUUCAGUGAAAUAACCACACAAUGUCAAAUACAGGUAGCCUAGUCAAAUAAUUAACAUCCAAUCACAUUAACCAUUACUCUCUCGCAGGAAUUCCACUAACGGUUCAAAUGUAGCCAAACGCAGCUGCUGCUCAUGUUGGUAUCUGUACUAAUGGCGCAAAAGCCUUUACAGGGAGACGUAGUGGAGUGGUAACGCAUGUGCAAGCAGUUGCUCAUGACGCCACUUGGGUACAUUGCAUCAUCCACCAAGAGGCUCUUGCUGCCAAGGGAAUGUCUGACAGCUUGAAAAAUGUUUUGGAAACUACAGUGAAAAUGGUUCACUUUGCUAAAGCAGGGCCCCUGUCACAAUCGUCGCAUGGAGUAGACCAAAGCGCAGCGUGGUUAGAAUACAUUCUUCUUUAUUGCAGGAAGAACACAAAGAAAACUUCAACAAAACAAUAAGACGAACGUGACUGCUAAUGAAACAAUGUGCUAACGUGCAACAUAACAUAGACAAUAACCCACCAAAUACCCAAAGAGGAUGGCUGCCUAAAUAUGGUUCCCAAUCAGAGACAACGAUAAACACCUGCCUCUAAUUGAGAACCAAUCUAGGCAACCAUAGACCUACAUAAACACCUAGAUGGUAAACAACCCCAUAAACCUACAAAACCCCUAGACAGUACAAAAACCCUAGAUGAGACAAAACACACAUCACCCUCGUCACACCCUGACCUAACCAAAAUGUAUAAAGAAAACAAAGAAUACUCAGGUCAGGGCGUGACAGUACCCCCCCACAAAGGAGCGGACUCUGGCCGCAAAAACCUAAUCUAAAGGGGAGGGUCCGGGUGGGCCUCUUUCACGGCGGCGGCUCGGGUGCGGGACGUAGACCCAACUCUACCAUAGUCAUUGCCCUCUUCAAGGGCCUCUUCAGAGAGACGACCCUUGCCUCCGACCUAGGGUCUAGGACCCUAAUUAAAGGCCCCAUUGGACUGAGGGGCAGCUCCGGACUGAGGGGCAGCUUCGGACUGAGGGGCAGCUCUGGCAGCUCCUGGCUGGCUGACGGUUCUGGCGGCUCCUGGCUGGUUGACGGCUCUGGCGGCUCCUGGCUGGCUGGCGGCUCCUGGCUGGCUGACGGCUCUGGCGGCUCCUGGCUGGCUGACGGCUCUGGUGGCUCCUGGCUGGCUGACGGCUCCUGACUGGCUGACAGACUGGCGGCUCUUGCGGCUCAGGACAGACUGGCGGCUCUAGCGGCUCAGGACAGACGGGAGACUGGCGGCUCUAGCGGCUCAGGACAGACGGGAGACUGGCAGCUCAGGACAGACGGGAGACUCUGGCAGCUCAGGACAGACGGGAGACUCUGGCAGCUCAGGACAGACGGGAGACUCUGGCAGCUCAGGACAGACGGGAGACUCUGGCAGCUCAGGACAGACGGGAGACUCUGGCAGCUCAGGACAGACGGGAGACUCUGGCAGCUCAGGACAGAUGGGAGACUCUGGCAGCUCAGG